UGGGGAAUAUUGGACAAUGGGCGAAAGCCUGAUCCAGCAAUGCCGCGUGAGUGAUGAAGGCCUUAGGGUUGUAAAGCUCUUUUACCAGGGAUGAUAAUGACAGUACCUGGAGAAUAAGCUCCGGCUAACUCCGUGCCAGCAGCCGCGGUAAUACGGAGGGAGCUAGCGUUGUUCGGAAUUACUGGGCGUAAAGCGUACGUAGGCGGCUAUUCAAGUCAGGGGUGAAAGCCUGGAGCUCAACUCCAGAACUGCCCUUGAAACUAGAUAGCUAGAAUCUUGGAGAGGCGAGUGGAAUUCCGAGUGUAGAGGUGAAAUUCGUAGAUAUUCGGAAGAACACCAGUGGCGAAGGCGAAUCGCUGGACAAGUAUUGGCGCUGAAGUACGAAAGCGUGGGGAGCAAACA
rnacentral:rRNA from 1 species